CAGUAAAAAUUCAAUUCUGGUGGUGUUUAACUUCUUGUGGUUUCUGUUCCGAGAUUGCGUUCGGUCUGGGCUGGAAUCUCCAUUUGCAGCUGGUUUGGUUCAGCUGUGUGUGUGAUUUUAAGCGGGUCUCCGA
rnacentral:snoRNA from 1 species